CUGGCUGACUGGUUCUCUAUAGUGGUGGGUGGCUGAGACGGGAUGAACGGGGCUCGCUGACUGACUGGCUGGCUGACUGGCUGGCUGACUGGUUGACUACCCGGUUGUCUGGCUGGCUGGCUGACUGAAUAACUGGCAGACUGACUGGUUGACUACCCGGCUGGCUGGCUGGCUGGCUGACUGGCUGGCUGUGGACUGCAUUGUAUAGAGAAAAGAGCUGAUAAACCAUAUGACGAUAGGACUUGUGCAGAACAGAUUCCAGACAGGGAGGCCAGCAGGGCCGAUCCAAACAAGCUGAUUUUGCGCUGCUAUUUUGGUCCCCCCCGCGGAUCAUGCUGCACAGAGGAACUAGCGCCUACAAAUAUGGUAAGUGUGGGAGAGAUCCCCAGCUCAGCUAUGUAGAGGCGUUGUCUGUGGAGACAGCUGGGGGAAGGCUAGUGGUCACAGCACCUGUAUUAUUGUCAGGGAGCUGUGAGGCUAGGGAGCUGUGAGGCUAGGGAGCUGUGAGGCUAGGUAGUAUCAGGGAGCUGUGAGGCUAGGGAGCUGUGAGGCUAGGUAGUAUCAGGGAGCUGUGAGGCUAGGUAGUAUCAGGGAGCUGUGAGGCUAGGUAGUAUCAGGGAGCUGUGAGGCUAGGUAGUGUCAGGAAGCUGUGAGGCUAGGUAGUAUCAGGGAGCUGUGAGGCUAGGUAGUUUCAGGGAGCUGUGAGGCUAGGUAGGUUCAGGGAGCUGUGAGGCUAGGUAGUUUCAGGGAGCUGUGAGGCUAGGUAGUUUCAGGGAGCUGUGAGGCUAGGUAUUAUCAGGGAGCUGUGAGGCUAGGUAGUAUCAGGGAGCUGUGAGGCUAGGUAGUUUCAGUGAGCUGUGAGGCUAGGGAGCUGUGAGGCUAGGUAGUAUCAGGGAGCUGUGAGACAAGGGAGCUGUGAGGCUAGGUAGUGUCAGGGAGCUGUGAGGCUAGGUAGUGUCAGGGAGCUGUGAGGCUAGGUAGUAUCAGGGAGCUGUGAGGCUAGGUAGUAUCAGGGAGCUGUGAGGCUAGGGAGCUGUGAGGCUAGGUAGUAUCAGGGAGCUGUGAGGCUAGGUAGUUUCAGUGAGCUGUGAGGCUAGGUACUGUCAGGGAGCUGUGAGGCUAGGUAGUAUCAGGGAGCUGUGAGGCUAGGUAGUGUCAGUGAGCUGUGAGGCUAGGGAGCUGUGAGGCUAGGUAGUAUCAGGGAGCUGUGAGGCUAGGUAGUUUCAGUGAGCUGUGAGGCUAGGUAGUGUCAGGGAGCUGUGAGGCUACGUAGUAUCAGGGAGCUGUGAGGCUAGGUAGUGUCAGUGAGCUGUGAGGCUAGGUAGUUUCAGGGAGCUGUGAGGCUAGGUAGUAUCAGGGAGCUGUGAGGCUAGGUAGUAUCAGGGAGCUGUGAGGCUAGGUAGUUUCAGGGAGCUGUGAGGCUAGGUAGUUUCAGGGAGCUGGGAGGCUAUGUAGUUUCAGGGAGCUGUGAGGCUAGGUACUGUCAGGGAGCUGUGAGGCUAGGUAGUAUCAGGGAGCUGUGAGGCUGGGUAGUAUUAGGGAGCUGUGAGGCUAGGUAGUUUCAGGGAGCUGUGAGGCUAGGUAGUAUCAGGGAGCUGUGAGGCUAGGUAGUUUCAGGGAGCUGUGAGGCUAGGGAGCUGUGAGGCUAGGUAGUUUAGGGAGCUGUGAGGCUAGGUAGUUUCAGGGAGCUGUGAGGCUAGGUAGUUUCAGGGAGCUGUGAGGAAUGGUAGUGUCAGGGAGCUGUGAGGCUAGGUAGUUGCAGGGAGCUGUGAGGCUAGGUACUGUCAGGGAGCUGUGAGGCUAGGUAGUAUCAGGGAGCUGUGAGGCUAGGUAGUUUCAGGGAGCUGUGAGGCUAGGUAGUAUCAGGUAGAGACCAGUGUUACCAGGCUAGGUAGUAUCAGGUAGAGGCCAGUGUUACCAGGCUAGGUAGUAUCAGCUAGAGACCAGUGUUACCAGGCUAGGUAGUAUCAGGUAGAGACCAGUGUUACCAGGCUAGGUAGUGAGACCAGUGUUACCAGGCUAGGUAGUAUCAGGUAGAGACCAGUAUUACCAGGCUAGGUAGAGACCAGUAUUACCAGGCUAGGUAGAGACCAGUGUUACCAGGCUAGGUAGUAUCAGGUAGAGACCAGUGUUACCAGGCUAGGUAGUGAGACC
rnacentral:lncRNA from 1 species